UACGUAGGGUGCGAGCGUUGUCCGGAAUUACUGGGCGUAAAGAGCUCGUAGGUGGUUUGUCGCGUUGUUCGUGAAAACUCACAGCUCAACUGUGGGCGUGCGGGCGAUACGGGCAGACUGGAGUACUGCAGGGGAGACUGGAAUUCCUGGUGUAGCGGUGGAAUGCGCAGAUAUCAGGAGGAACACCGGUGGCGAAGGCGGUCUCUGGGCAGUAACUGACGCUGAGGAGCGAAAGCGUGGGGAGCGAACAGG
rnacentral:rRNA from 1 species